GAAAGUCACGGCGUCUGCGUUUGCAAUGCAUGCUGGUCCGUGUAGUUCUCAGCCUGACACCGUCGUUCCCAGAACCCAGCGCGCUCUAUACAGCCUGCAAGAUGGUCCGCUGGCUGUCUGCCAAGCUCGGCCCCACAGUGGCCUCUCGCCACGUGGCCCGGAACCUGCUCCGCCUGCUGACGUCUUGUUAUGUUGGUAAGGAGGCCUGCGGUCAGUGCUGGAGAUGAGCCUUUCUCCCAGGCCCUCUGCCUAGCUUCAGCCCUCUCCGGCGGGGAUCCUUCCCACCCCUCCCUCAAACCACCCCCCGGCCAGGUGCUGGGUCCCAGUCUGUAAGUGCCAGCCUUGGGUAGGGCCAGACUGGACCCCCAGCUAGAGUGAGCUCAAGCGGCCAGCACAGCCCUGCAGGGCCAGGCUACCCCUGGCCCUCCACUGGCGACUCAGGACUGCUCGCCCUUCCGUGGCAGGACCCACUCGGCAGCAGUUCACAGUGAGCAGUGGCGAGAGCCCACCACUGAGUGCCGGCAACAUCUACCAGAAGAGGCCGGUC
rnacentral:sRNA from 1 species